CCAGUGGGGGUUGUGCGCUGGUGUUUGUGGACCCUGCCAGUGGGAGUUGUGCGCUGGUAUUCUGUAGAUCCCGCCAAUGGAGGUUAAACGUUGGUCAUAGUCGAGGCUGUUGAGUUACGAGUGUUUUGAAUCGAAUCAGAUUUAUGAUUAUAUUAUAUAUGAAUAUUUGAAAAUAUUGGAUUUUCAUUAAAUCAGCAUGAAAUAUAUUUUUAUGUUUAUUUGCAGCAUUGUUUUUGAAA
rnacentral:lncRNA from 1 species